UUCAUAAUCCAAAUUUCAAUUUUUAGAGUUGACCCGUUCAAAAAAUUAAAGGGGUGGGACAUGUAUAACUACAUUUUUCCAUGUUAAAAAGAUCAUCAUUUGUAUGAAUUGAUGUUUCGAACAUAUCCCGAAAUGAUCUGAAGUUCUCAAUAUCCCCGGUAAAUUUUGGUAUUUCUACCUUUGGCCUUUGGGAGUCUAAUAUUAUUGUUACUAUUUCUUGUUGAUAUUGAUCUGUUGAGGUCAGGCGGAUUACCAUUUUCAAACAAGCUAUGAAAAACGGCCUUAGCGAAGGAAACAUUAAACUCAACUCCCUACGUACUGCCUUGUCUAUCGUUGGAACAUCCUCAGUAAGAGAAGUCAAAGCUAUGAAACUCAAGUAAUUUUCUUAAUACAUCACGAAUUGAACCUAGAUGGAGAUGAACCAUUUUAAAUUGUAAGAGCGAAAUAGUAUCGUCCACUGCCUUCGAAGCAAAUUUUAAGGGGCCAAUGUCCUCCACUGUAAAUUAUCCAUAUUUUGCCAAAUUUAUAGUUACCUAGUUGUAGUACUCACCUCAGAGCAAAGAGUAGGAAACCAUAACAUGGAAGACACUAUAGGAAUAAGCAAGACCAGGUAACUGCCCAAUAGAACACACUAAAAAAAAUGCUUUAACAUAAAAGAGAACAGUUCGUGAACUAAUGGAGAAUGAUACAUUUAACUAAAUAUAUUUGAUAUAUUAUUAUUA